AGCGAACGCUGGCGGCAGGCUUAACACAUGCAAGUCGAGCGGCCGUAGCAAUACGGCAGCGGCAGACGGGAGAGUAACACGUGGGAACGUACCCUUCAGUACGGAACAACCAAGGGAAACCUUGGCUAAUACCGUAUACGUCCGUAAGGAGAAAGAUCUAUCGCUGAAGGAUCGGCCCGCGUCUGAUUAGCUAGUUGGUGAGGGAACGGCUCACCAAGGCGACGAUCAGUAGCUGGGCUGAGAGGAUGAUCAGCCUCACUGGGACUGAGACACGGCCCAGACUCCUACGGGAGGCAGCAGUGGGGAAUAUUGGACAAUGGGCGCAAGCCUGAUCCAGCCAUGCCGCGUGGAUGAUGAAGGCCCUAGGGUUGUAAAGUCCUUUUAACGGGGAAGAUAAUGACGGUACCCGUAGAAUAAGCCCCGGCUAACUUCGUGCCAGCCGCCGCAGUAA
rnacentral:rRNA from 1 species